AAAAUGGAUUACAUUUGGUGUCCUAGCCAAGCGCUCCCACCCAACCAUGGAUGCCCUCAAGAUGCUGCAGGGCACCACCCAUUCGCCGUCGGCAGGAGCCCCCUCCUCGCGACUACGGCUACGGUUCCAUCUCCCCCACUGGGAAAGCUUAUUCACACAUAGUGGGUAUUACAAAGGUUUAAUAAAUAUCCCUUUAAGACCGAAACCUGGCCGCCGUCUUCAACAUUUACGCGGUCAAAGCAGAGGAUUUUGUUUUGCUGGAAAAGGGUACAGGCGCCGCGGAAACUAUGCUCUACCAGUCAUGUAUUGGUAGAGCUCGCAUGGAAACGCGGCCCUCAAAGGAACAUACGCGAUGCGUAUGUGUAUGGUCACCUAAUCCUGAGGAGCUCCAAGGGAAAAGAAGGGACAGGCCAAAAAGGCAAACAACGAGGACAAAUAAGGCUCUCG